rnacentral:lncRNA from 1 species
UUUUUUUUUUUUUUUUUUUUUUUUUAAAUCCUGGACAGCAUAUAUCCCCAAUAUUUACUCAUUCUGUCCUUUGAUUUUUUUUUUUUUUCACCAGCUUAAAUCUUGUUUGGCUUCCAAUAAAAUUAAGUCAAAUAUAAUCUUUAACUGGACCAACAAGAAGAAGCAUUCCCUGAUUCUAAAAUGAAGCUCUUGGAAUGGGUACUAAUAAUAAAUAAAUAAUAAAAAUAAUUUUUAUUUUUCCCUUCAAGAAUUUAAGUCCAGCAAAGAAGCAUCUAUAAUUCAUUCUUACAAGCAAUUCUAAGAAUGAACUAUGAGUUCCCAUUGCAGCUCAGCAGGUUACAAACCCAAUUAGUUUCCAUGGGGAUGUGUGUGUGUUCGAUCCCUGGCCUCGUUCAGUGGGUUAAGGAUCCAGUGUUGCCAUGAGUUGUGGUGUAGGUUACAGAUGUGGCUCAAUUCUGGUGUUGCUGUGGCUGUGGUGUAGGCUGGCAGUUGCAGGUUCAAUUUGACUCCUAGCCUGGGAACCUCCAUAUGCUGUGGGCAUGGCCCUAAAAAGAAAACGAAAACCUAUAAAUUCAUACUUUAGCAAAAUACCCCCUUCUCAUUUGGGAGAAAUGACUAAAUCUUAAAUAAUUGGUAUUUAUCUGACCCACCAGGUACCAGGCUAGAUGUCUACCUUCACAUGAUCUGACUAUCAACAUGAUUUUGUUGCAAGGAAAUUUUAACUUUUUUAAAGUCAUAAAAUUACAUGAUUAAAAAAAAAAAAUGCAGCAUGCUGUUAGAAAAAUCCCAAGCUAGACAGGAAAGCUGUGCAGGAAACCUGAGUCCUGCUGUCACCUCAGCCCAGCCCAGCCCACUCCCCAGAGGUCCCAGAAAGUGUAAGUUAGCACCAUCAAGGGCAGUCAUUUUGCCCAACAGGGAUUUCAGAAAUCUGCUUUGGUCUUUAAAAAUUAUAUUCAGUUUAUUAAAGUUACAGAAAGCCAGUUCUUAAGCAUUUACAUUGAGCCCACAUCCUAUUCUUUUCAUAAAUUCAGCAAAUUUUACAUUUUAAAAGACUUUUGAGUGUUUGCAAAGUGGAACCAAACUUAAUACCUUUAAAAUAUCUAAAAUAACAAUUAGAAAUGUAGUCGAUUUCCUUUUAAAGUAUUCCAGUUUUGCAACCAACUGUGACGAAGAAGUCAUGAGUGGAGAAACUGCAAACCACUCUGCUCUUUUGAGGAUUCUUUCACAAAGCCUUGUUCUCCCAUGUCACCCCUCGUCACUGGGAGACUGAAUGUACAAGUGGACAAUGGCCAGAUGGCCAGACCAUAUAUAAAAAUAGAACUCUGACCCAUAACCUGCAACAACCAGCCCAGGAAACCAAUCCCUUGACUUUAAUAAUCAGACCAGGAAGCCAGACAGACUUGUAGGAAGUCAGACUUUUAUCUCUAGUGACAGUCCAGGAAGCUAAACAAUAGCCCAUGAAACAGCCCCAAUAGCCACGACUUGAUUAAUAUCUGACAGCUUCCCUAAUUUUUAUCCCUACUUUGAACCUAGAACCAACCAGAAAAAGCCAAAUAUGCACCUCUCACCAAUCACAGAUGUUCCAUGAUUGAUGUUCCCCUUCUAUCAGCCUGACACUAAUUUUCCCCAUGCCAACAGCCUCCAACAGGACACAACUGAAGCCUUCCCUUUUUUUCCCCCACUAUAAAAAACUUUCCCACUCCUCUGCCUGUCUUUGAGUUCUGCCAGAACACAAAUGACAGUGGCUGAUGCCGUUGCUACAGCAAGCUCAGAAUAAGUAGCCUUUGUUUGUUAUCAUUUGGUUGGUCUUCAUUUCCACUAAAUUAUUCAACCUAAGCUCUAGCUUCCAAAUCCAUGAAAUGGGGCUAAAUAGUUCCCAGCAGUCAGUGCCAUGUUAAAGUCUCUUAAUGUCACACACACUGGAUUCAGUAUGCCAGGAAGUAUAAGAAACCAUAGGAUGAAUAUGAGGCAUCAUCUUGGAGGUGAGUGUUUCAAUAUUAAACAUAUGUUAUAGAAUUGAAUGCAAAAUGUGAAUGCAUUUUUGGUACAAUCUUCAGAGAAUUGUAUGCUCAUGGUGGACUGCUUCAUCUAGACCCUUGGGUCCUACAUUUGCUUUCCUCUCUUCAUUGGAACUUGGGUGGAAAAGUCUGAAAUACUGACAUAUGUUGAAAGCACCUUGUUAGUCAUGAGAUUCUAGAACAGUGGUUCUUGAAGUGUGGUCUAGGUAGGUUCCUUUGGGAGGGUCUAGGACCUUUUCAGGAGGUCUACAAAAAUAAAAACUAUUGUCAUAAUACGAGGAUUUGAUUUGCCUUUUUCACUCUCGUUUUCUUAUGAGAGUAUAGAGGACUUUCCAGAGGCUACAUAACAUGGGAUAUGGCCAGAGAUUGAACACAGAAGCAGUUAUGAGCAUCCAGCUGUUUUCUAUUAAGCCAGACAUUAAAACUAUAAAACAGUGCACUAUUCUCUCAUUUUGAAAAAUAGAUAUUUUUCAUUUAAACAUGUUUCACAUGCAAUGAGGUUAUUGUUUUUUUUUAA